rnacentral:tRNA from 1 species
CUUUUAAAGGAAACAAGCACUCCACUGGUCUUAGGAGCCA